CGAACGCUGGCGGCGUGCUUAAUACAUGCAAGUCGAACGAGAAAGUCCGGCUUCGGUUGGACAAGUAAAGUGGCGAACGGGUGAGUAACACGUGGAUAAUCUGCCCUUAAAUCUGGGAUAAUCCUCCGAAAGGAGGUCUAAUACCGGAUGAUACCCUUUAAUGGCAUCGUUUUAGGGUCAAAGGCGGGGUAACCUGCCGUUUAAGGAUGAGUCCGCGUCCCAUUAGCUUGUUGGUGAGGUAACGGCCCACCAAGGCUGCGAUGGGUAGCCGGCCUGAGAGGGCGAUCGGCCACACUGGGACUGAGAUACGGCCCAGACUCCUACGGGAGGCAGCAGUAGGGAAUAUUGCGCAAUGGACGAAAGUCUGACGCAGCAACGCCGCGUGGGUGAUGAAGCUUCUUGGAGUGUAAAACCCUGUCAGUGGGGAAGAAACGUAUGGGGAGUAACUGCCCUGUACCUGACGGUACCCGCAGAGGAAGUCCCGGCUAACUCC
rnacentral:rRNA from 1 species